rnacentral:misc_RNA from 1 species
GAGGAAGUAGGUACAACGCAAGGAUAUUCUCAGGUUGGGUUGCGUCGUGUUUACACUAAU